GUGAGUGUGGCGAAGGGGUUAACGCACCGGAUUGUGGUUCCGGCAUGCAUGGGUUCGAAUCCCAUCACUCACC
rnacentral:tRNA from 2 species